UACGUAGGGCGCAAGCGUUGUCCGGAAUUAUUGGGCGUAAAGAGCUCGUAGGCGGUCUGUCGCGUCUGUUGUGAAAACUCGAGGCUCAACCUCGGGCUUGCAGUGGAUACGGGCAGACUAGAGUGCGGUAGGGGAGACUGGAAUUCCUGGUGUAGCGGUGGAAUGCGCAGAUAUCAGGAGGAACACCGAUGGCGAAGGCAGGUCUCUGGGACGUGACUGACGCUGAGACGCGAAAGCGUGGGGAGCAAACAGG
rnacentral:rRNA from 1 species